AACGAACGCUGGCGGCAGGCCUAACACAUGCAAGUCGAGCGCCCAGCAAUGGGAGCGGCAGACGGGUGAGUAACACGUGGGAACCUUCCCUAUAGUACGGAAUAGCCCAGGGAAACUUGGAGUAAUACCGCAUACGCCCGAGAGGGGAAAGAUUUAUCGCUAUAGGAUGGGCCCGCGUAGGAUUAGCUAGUUGGUGAGGUAACGGCUCACCAAGGCUACGAUCGGUAGCUGGUCUGAGAGGAUGAUCAGCCACAUUGGGACUGAGACACGGCCCAAACUCCUACGGGAGGCAGCAGUGGGGAAUAUUGGACAAUGGGCGCAAGCCUGAUCCAGCCAUGCCGCGUGAGUGAUGAAGGCCUUAGGUUGUAAGCUCUUUGU
rnacentral:rRNA from 1 species